UGGGAUAUGGCUUAGUGGUAGAGUGUUUGCCUAGCAUGCGUGAAGCUCUGGGUUCGAUCCACAGUACCACAU
rnacentral:tRNA from 1 species